GGGUUUAAAGUGUAGCGCAGGCGGUUCUGUAAGUCAGAUGUGAAAUACCCCGGGGCUUAACCUGGGAACUGCGUUUGAAACUGCAGAGCUAGAGUGCGGCAGAGGGAGGUGGAAUUCCAUGUGUAGCAGUGAAAUGCGUAGAGAUAUGGAAGAACAUCGAUGGCGAAGGCAACCUCCUGGGCUAGCACUGACGCUCAUGCACGAAAAGCGUGGGGAGCAAAACAGGAUUAGAUACCCUGGUAGUCCACGCCCUAAACUAUGUCAACUAAGUUGUCGGGUCUUAAUUAGACUUGGUAACGUAGCUAACGCGUGAAGUUGACCGCCUGGGGAGUACGGUCGGCAAGAUUAAAAACU
rnacentral:rRNA from 1 species